rnacentral:tRNA from 1 species
GUAGGAAUGGCUCAUUGGUUGAGAGCACUUGUUGCCCUUGAAGAGGACCUGGGUUCAAUUCCCAGCACUCACA